GGGGGACAGCGGCGAAAGGGACAGUAAUGUGUAGAUCAUCUACCCUCAGGUCCGGGAUAGCUGCGGGAAACUGCAGGUAAUACCGGAUAACAUCCCCGGAUCAAAGGUGUGAUUCCGCCUGGGGAUGAGUCUACAUCCUAUUAGCUAGUUGGCAGGGUAACGGCCUACCAAGGCUUUGAUGGGUAGCGGGUGUGAGAGCACGACCCGCGUCAUUGGGACUGAGACACUGCCCAGACACCUACGGGUGGCUGCAGUCGAGAAUCUUCGGCAAUGGGCGCAAGCCUGACCGAGCGACGCCGCGUGCGGGAUGAAGGCCUUCGGGUUGUAAACCGCUGUCAGAGGGGAUGAAAUGCGUGGGGGUUCUCCCCCAUGUUUGACAUAGCCUCAGAGGAAGGACGGGCUAAGUUCGUGCCAGCAGCCGCGGUAAGACGAACCGUCCAAACGUUAUUCGGAAUCACUGGGCUUAAAGGGUGCGUAGGCGGCGCGGAAAGUUGGGUGUGAAAUACCUCGGCUCAACCGAGGAACUGCGCCCAAAACUUCCGUGCUCGAGGGAGAUAGAGGUGAGCGGAACUUAGGGUG
rnacentral:rRNA from 1 species